rnacentral:tRNA from 1 species
AGGGCUACAGCUCAGCGAUAGAGCACCUUGUUUAAUGACCGAGAAUACCUACGGUUCGAACCCGU